UACGUAGGAGGCAAGCGUUGUCCGGAAUUACUGGGCGUAAAGCGCGUGUAGGUGGUGGGACAAGUCUGCUGUGAAAGCGCCUGGCUUAACCGGGCGAGGUCGGCGGAAACUGUCCGACUAGAGGACGGUAGAGGGGGGUGGAAUUCCCGGUGUAGUGGUGAAAUGCGUAGAUAUCGGGAGGAACACCAGCGGCGAAGGCGGCCGCCUGGACGGUCACUGACGCUGAGACGCGAAAGCGUGGGGAGCAAACAGG
rnacentral:rRNA from 1 species